rnacentral:tRNA from 1 species
AAGAAUUUAAGUUAAAAAAACUAUUGACCUUCAAAGUCAAAAUUAGACUAAGUCUAAUCCUUA